rnacentral:rRNA from 1 species
UACGUAGGGUGCAAGCGUUGUCCGGAAUUAUUGGGCGUAAAGAGCUCGUAGGCGGUCUGUCGCGUCGGCUGUGAAAUCCCGAGGCUCAACCUCGGGUCUGCAGUCGAUACGGGCAAACUGGAGUGCUGCAGGGGAGACUGGAAUUCCUGGUGUAGCGGUGAAAUGCGCAGAUAUCAGGAGGAACACCGGUGGCGAAGGCGGGUCUCUGGGCCGAUAUCGACGCUGAGGAGCGAAAGCGUGGGGAGCGAACAGG